GCUGGGCGUGGUGGCUCACGCCUGUAAUCCCAGCACUUUGGGAGGCCGAGGUGGGCGGAUCACCUGAGGUCAGGAGUUCGAGAGCAGCCUGGCCAACAUGGUGAAACCCCAUCUCUA
rnacentral:SRP_RNA from 1 species